rnacentral:rRNA from 1 species
GCCAGCCCGCUCAGAACUCAAAGGAAUUGACGGGGCCCGCACAAGCGGUGGAGUAUGUGGUUAAUCGAUGCAACGCGAAGAACCUUACUGGUCUUGACAUCCCGGAGACCCUUAGGAAACUAGGGGGUGCUUCCAUCUGGAAGAAUCUGGAGACAGGUGCUGCAUGGCUGUCGUCAGCUCGUGUCGUGAGAUGUUGGGUUAAGUCCCGCAACGAGCGCAACCCUUGCCUUUAGUUGCCAGCAGUUCGGCUGGGCACUCUAAAGGGACUGCCGGUGUUAAACCGGAGGAAGGUGGGGAUGACGUCAAGUCCUCAUGGCCUUUAUGACCAGGGCUACACACGUACUACAAUGGCCGAUACAAAGGGCAGCGACACUGCGAGGUGAAGCCAAUCCCGUAAAAUCGGUCUCAGUCCGGAUUGGAGUCUGCAACUCGACUCCAUGAAGUUGGAAUCGCUAGUAAUCGUGGAUCAGCAUGCCACGGUGAAUACGUUCCCGGGCCUU